AGCGGAGGAUAUUACCGGGUCGCGAGACGCCCAAAACCCCACGAGAACCCCGUCGGAAACGAGUUGCCUCGGCGGCCCCGGCCGCCGCAGGGAGGAGCAAGUCGCUGAGCCUUCGGCAGAGCAGCCUCUGAGUGAAGAGCGAAUACAAGUCAAAACUUUCAACAACGGAUCUCUUGGUUCUGGCAUCGAUGAAGAACGCAGCGAAAUGCGAUAAGUAAUGUGAAUUGCAGAGCCCAGUGAAUCAUCGAAUCUUUGAACGCACAUUGCGCCCGCCAGCACUCUGGCGGGCACGCCUGUCCGAGCGUCAUGCCCACACCCCUCGGGCGCGCGCCGUCCCCCGUCCGCGGGGGGCCGCGCGCCCGGCGUUGGGGGGCCGCCCGCCGCGGCGCCCCCCUAAACUCAGCGGCGGCCGCGCCGCCCCAGUCCCCCGCGCAGUACGACCUCCGCGACGGGACGGGCGGCCCGGCCACGCCCGGCAGCCGCGCGAGAGCGCGAUGACAGCAGGUUGACCUCGGAUCAGGCGGGGAUACCCGCUGAACUUAAGCAUAUCAAUAA
rnacentral:rRNA from 1 species